UCCAUAUCUUAGAGAAAAAGCUUUCUAAUGCCUUUGUGCAAUUUUUCAGUAGCAAAAGAUAUAUU
rfam:Ailuropoda melanoleuca scaffold1121_24, whole genome shotgun sequence.